rnacentral:rRNA from 1 species
GAAAGUGGGGCGGCCUCGUGCCGCCACGGGAGGAUGGCAACCCCUCGCGGGAAGCCCGCACUCCCGGGGCGCCCCGGCUUCGGCCGUGGGCGCACUCGGAGCGUACACGUUGGGACCCGAAAGAUGGUGAACUAUGCCUGGUCAGGACGAAGUCAGGGGAAACCCUGAUGGAGGUCCGCAGCGAUUCUGACGUGCAAAUCGAUCGUCAGAGCUGGGUAUAGGGGCGAAAGACUAAUCGAACCAUCUAGUAGCUGGUUCCCUCCGAAGUUUCCCUCAGGAUAGCUGGCGCCCGCUUGGAACGAGACGAGUCUCAUCCGGUAAAGCGAAUGAUUAGAGGCCUUGGGGCCGAAACGACCUCAACCUAUUCUCAAACUUUAAAUGGGUGAGAACUCCGGCUUGCUCGAUUGAAGCCGCGAGGCGGAUCAGGGUGCCAAGUGGGCCAUUUUUGGUAAGCAGAACUGGCGCUGUGGGAUGAACCAAACGCCGGGUUAAGGCGCCUAAACCGGAGCUCAUGGGAGACCAUGAAAGGCGUUGGUUGCUUAAGACAGCAGGACGGUGGCCAUGGAAGUCGGAAGCCGCUAAGGAGUGUGUAACAACUCACCUGCCGAAGCAACUAGCCCUGAAAAUGGAUGGCGCUAAAGCUCCGUGCCUAUACCCGGCCGCCGGAAGGCAUUGGCGCGAGGCGCUCCCUCUCGGGGGGGCGCCGAGCGCACGAAGCCCCGGCGAGUAGGAGGGCGCGGCGGUGUGCGCGGAAGGGUCUGGGCGCGAGCCUGCCUGGAGCCGCCGCCGGUGCAGAUCUUGGUGGUAGUAGCAAAUACUCAAGCGAGGGCCUUGAGGGCUGAUGUGGAGAAGGGUUUCGUGUGAACAGCCGUUGCACACGAGUCAGUCGAUCCUAAGCCCUAGGAGAAAUCCGAUGUCGAUGCGGGGGGCUUAUCAACCGAUCUAACCCCCCUCGAUGGGCGAAAGGGAAUCCGGUUCCUAUUCCGGAACCCGGCAGCGGAACCGAAUCUACGGGCCCUCAUCAGAGAAGCUCGUCGGGGUAACCCAAAGGGACCCGGAGACGCCGUCGGGAGACCCGGGCAGAGUUUUCUGUUCUGCAUAAGCGUUCGAGUUCCCUGGAAUCCUCUAGCAGGGAGAUAGGGUUUGGAACGCGAAGAGCACCGCAGUUGCGGCGGUGUCCGGGUCGUCCCCUCGGACCUUGAAAAUCCGGGAGAGGGUCACGCGGAGGUGUCGCGCCGGCUCGUACCCAUAUCCGCAGCAGGUCUCCAAGGUGAAGAGCCU